AUAGGUUUGGAGCAACGCAGCUUAGGCUGUGUUACUUCAAGGAAACACCCAUAAGAGGUAUAAGACCAUGAUCACUAAAUGGAAAUAGGACGAGUGGAAAGGAAUCUUAACAGCAACAGCAGAUGUACAUCAACAGCUAUCAACGAAAAAUUGCACCAGAUUAAACAAGCGAGGACAGCUUAAUUAAAGACUUGUAAUAGUGGUCAAAACUGUUUGAAUCGGGGACAGAAGCAAAACUCAACUCCACUAAAACAAAAGUCAGGAGAGUUUCUCAGC